rnacentral:misc_RNA from 1 species
CGCACAUUGCGCCCUUUGGUAUUCCGAAGGGCAUGCCUGUUCGAGCGUCAUUAUCACCCCUCAAGCCCGGCUUGCUGUUGGUGGCGGCGUGGCCCCCGGCCCCGCCCCGCCCAAAGAUAAUGACGGCGUCUGCGAGGACUCCUGUACACUGAGCUUUCGGGCACGUACACGGCUAGAAGUCCAGGCGCCGGUCGACGCCGCUGCCCCGGCAGCGGCACCCUUUUUUACCAAGGUUGACCUCGGAUCAGGUAGGGAUACCCGCUGAACUUAA